GUCUACAGCCAUGCUACCCUGAACAAACCCGAUCCCAUCUGAUCUCAGAAGCUUAAGCAGGGUCAGGCCCGGUUAGUACUUGGAUAGGAGACCACCUAGGAAGACCAGGUGCUGUAGGUG
rnacentral:rRNA from 1 species